rnacentral:rRNA from 1 species
AGAGAUGGAUUGGUGGCCUUCGGGAACUCUGAGACAGGUGCUGCAUGGCUGUCGUCAGCUCGUGUUGUGAAAUGUUGGGUUAAGUCCCGCAACGAGCGCAACCCUUAUCCUUUGUUGCCAGCGGUUAGGCCGGGAACUCAAAGGAGACUGCCAGUGAUAAACUGGAGGAAGGUGGGGAUGACGUCAAGUCAUCAUGGCCCUUACGAGUAGGGCUACACACGUGCUACAAUGGCGCAUACAAAGAGAAGCGACCUCGCGAGAGCAAGCGGACCUCAUAAAGUGCGUCGUAGUCCGGAUUGGAGUCUGCAACUCGACUCCAUGAAGUCGGAAUCGCUAGUAAUCGUGGAUCAGAAUGCCACGGUGAAUACGUUCCCGGGCCUUGUACACACCGCCCGUCACACCAUGGGAGUGGGUUGCAAAAGAAGUAGGUAGCUUAACCUUCGGGAGGGCGCUUACCACUUUGUGAUUCAUGACUGGGGUGAAGUCGUAACAAGGUAAGCGUAGUGCU